CCUUUGCUUUAAAUGCAAAUAUAUCUAUAGAGGAGCUUUUCAUCCCUCUCACGCUCUCUCUUCCUGCUGAUGAAUUCUGCAACAGUCAUUACAGUGGGUUUCUGGCAUCAGUCUGUUGUCAUGGAAAUUAUCAUGACAUCACACAUUGAGUUUUUGUGACCUCCCUGCUGGACAAAUCUGAGAAGGAACAAAUGUCUCUUCCCGGGCAAACAUCUGUACAAAUCAAAACAUGAUGAGAAAGAUUAGUGAAAGCUGAAUCGGGGUUUGAUGAAUGAAUACAAUGUGGGUUCAGAACCUUUGAGGAUAUCAGCUAAUCAACUUAAAAGCCUGAGCAGCACACGGUUAUUAGCUUUUGUGGAAAGGACUCUCUGUGAAAUGUGCUAAAGUAGCAGAGAAUGUUUCACACCUGCCUUUGACUGAGCCUUACCGCAUAGAACUGCACAGCAUCUGGGAGGAGUAGGAAUUGGGAGCUUUGAUCUUCAGGCUUCUGGGCAUCUCUGCAGAGA